UCAUGGCGAUGCAGCUGUCCUGAGAGCUGGACAGAGCCAGAAGAGUCCGAGACAUCUCCUCCUUAUCUCUGUUGGCGAGCAUGGAGAGCAGCCAGAACACCAUCUCCACCUGCAGGGACGGCCCACAGUGAGUCUACACAGCAGGUGUGGUCAGAGUGUUUCUGAGUGAAACUGGGCUGAACGCCAGUGAAGAGGAGAGAAAACAGCACUGACCUAUUUCUGCUCUGGACUGAAUCUGUGGCUCUGAUCCAAACCUCCAUUAAACUCAACCGGCUGCACACACAACGACAAAAUGGACGCCGGCGAGCGGAAACAGCCGAGGAUCAAACCGGUCGGUUUCAUCCAGAAGCACCAAAACCCCCUGAAACUACUGGACCAACAGCACUGACCCGUUCCUCCACAUGUCCCGAGGCUCCGGAUCACCUCGCUCGUCACGUUUCAACAGAUAAAAUUAAUAUUGAUUCAUUGUUUUUACCAAAGAUUCUCUGGAUUGUAAGAAUUUGGUGCUUUUCUUUGUUGUUAAUGACCCGAACAGAACAAGAUGUUCUGACAUA